UAAGAAGGCACACUAUUCUGCAGGGUUGUAGCAAUGAUCACAAGAAUGCAGGCUGUAUAUUUGACUGACACUGUUCAUUACAGGUUCAGCUGAAGAGGCAGGAAUCUGCAGAGGGGAUCCCCAGGCCGAUCCUCGGGAACAGAAGCUUCUUGUUGCAGCGAACUUGGCUGCAGACAAGCAGAUGCACAACUGUCUAGUCAUAUUUCUUGUCACUACCAGUCUAGACAGCUGCUCCCGUCUUUUGUCUAGCUUUACCCCCAUUGGCUUCCUUGUGUAGAAGACAGUCAGUCAAGAAUCAUUCCACAUCCUCCCGAUCUGGUUCACAGUAGAACAGAAGCCUGGGGGAGAUCUACCAAAUCGCUUCUAUUUUGUUCCAGUCCUGGAAAACAACAGAGAGAAAUCUCCAGAUCUACCUAGCAGGCACUGAAGCCUCACUGGUUUUUCCUGCUUGGAAUCCUUCACCAGGCUUCUCUGUGCAAACAUCCUUUCCAAGAUGAGCUCCCAUCCAGGCGGCAAAGUUUAGUCUGCGCGAACCGGUGUGGACAAAAUCUCAGUGUAAAAAGCAAAAGGAAAGCUGACAUCUACUUCCUAGUCAGGUGAGUUUUUUGUUCUCUCCAAAUCUUACUCAUCAUGGUUCCAUAUCUUAACCUCAAUCACCUCUGAAUGGGAGGGCAGUAAUUUGAAUGCAAGUAACAAG
ensembl:lincRNA